GACGAACGCUGGCGGUAUGCUUAACACAUGCAAGUCGAACGAGAAGUCUUUUAUUGAACCUUCGGGGGAUAUAAGAGACAGACAGUGGCGAACGGGUGAGUAACGCGUGGGCAACCUACCUAUCGGGGCGGGAUAGCCUCGAGAAAUCGGGAGUAAAACCGCAUAACACGGAUAUAUCGCAUGAUGAAUCCGUCAAAACUCCGGUGCCGAUAGAUGGGCCCGCGUCUGAUUAGCUAGUUGGUAAGGUAAGGGCUUACCAAGGCAACGAUCAGUAGCCGGUCUGAGAGGGCGAACGGCCACACUGGAACUGAGACACGGUCCAGACUCCUACGGGAGGCAGCAGUGGGGAAUAUUGCGCAAUGGGGGCAACCCUGACGCAGCAAUACCGCGUGAGUGAAGAAGGUUUUCGGAUCGUAAAGCUCUGUUAUUGGGGAAGAAGCAGGACGGUAC
rnacentral:rRNA from 1 species